AAAGUACUCCCUCCGUCCCAAAAUUCUUGUCUUAGAUUUGUCUAGAUACGGAUGUAUCAAGUCACAUAUUAGUAUUAGAUACAUCCGUAUCUAGACAAAUCUAAGACAAGAAAUUUGGGACAGAGGGAGUAGUUG
rnacentral:pre_miRNA from 1 species